rnacentral:misc_RNA from 1 species
GAUUAGUCCUCGUCGGUUAUUCCUGGUAAAAAAAUACGCUUCACAGGAAGCUGCAUGAGGUGACAGAGUUGGCAUGCUUCAUACUUCUCCAGUGUGUGAGUUCGUACACUGGACGUUUCCGUUUCAUCCAUGCCCAACUACAGUAUACGGAAAGCAUGAUACCAGUUGUUCAUACUACAGUACUGUACUGUACAGUACCGAAGUAUCUCUCGUUUGCUUGUUACCACAACAGAGCUUGAUUUCCCAAUGAGUGAACGAACUAGUCCGUAUUGAUACCACCGCGACUUCACUCACGCUCGCAGUUUGAUUGAUUCCAAGUGGCUACAAGUAGCCACUGCUAUACUCGUUGCUACACGAUCUUUGCUAAAAAGGAACAAUCAAUUUUGCACAAUAAAACCAGGAAAAAAAAAACACUACUUGGAGUAAACCCAUAAAAGCCUAACUCUGACCUUUCUGCUCAGGUCGAGCCAGCUGCUGGUGCUUGUCCUGGCCCAGCUGCUGUCGCGGAGCCUGCUCAACUCGGAUUGAUGGUCUGACUGUUGUUGCAUCCGGAAGCAGCGCUCUCGGCGGCAAUAGAAUCUCCCACACGUUGUUGCCAGCAUUGCAAGCAGGGAACUGCUGGUUAUUGAAGUUGAGGUAUCCCUGGUUGUUGACAGAGAAGCCCUUGGAGCCCAUUUGGAGGUUGUCGGCGUUGGUUAGAGCAAGAUUCUGGCUUUGGCCAGGAGUAGCAAACUAUCGGCGCUGAGUGUCAACGAGCUGAUCCCUGUAGAAACCUGGUAAGAAGUCUGGGAUCUGAUGGCCUUGACCUCAUACCCAGGUUGCUGGUCGGAGGAGGCAAGCAGUCUGCCGUUCUGGUUAUAUACCGGAGAGUAAUGGAUGUCUUCAGAGGGAGCAAAAACUCGGAGAAUGACGUCUGGUUAAUGUGCAUGGCCGUUCUGUCGCACACCGUUUAGAGAAAGUCUGAAGGGGGUCUCGCAAGGGGCUUUGUUAUUAAACGCCUGGUACAUGUAGGAGUUCUUUCGCCCCUGGCCCUGCUGCUGAGUCUGCUGCUGCUGGGGUUGAACCUGCUACAGGUUUCGGUCCUGAGUCUGCUGCUGUCGGAUAUCUCACUUCUGCCGCUGGCUGUCCUGUCCCUACUGUCCCUGCUGGUCAUGGCCCUGCGGUCCCUGCUGCUAAACGGGACAGGCAAAGAACUACUAGUUCUGGUUGAAUUGCAGAGCAACAUCAGACAUGUCAUCGUUUGGAGAAGAAUACUCCCACUUGCCGGAACCCUGGGAGUGAGCUGCCCCCUUGCUGGUCAGCAGACAGGAACCAGUUUGGCUGCAUAAAUUGCUGGGCAUUGGGGCUGGAUCGAGAAAGAUCAAGAUUGCCCUUAGUGUCGUCGAAGAAGACCAUGACAUCAACCAGGGGCUGGCCGUUGGAAGAGGUGUGGCUCCGCUGGGUGCCAUAGAAUAUGCUGGCCAUCGGUGUACAUGACUUGAGGUCCAAAGGCAUUGGCCGUUCCUGGUUGGCCUGGAGUCGGUACAUAUAGUCAAACUAAGGCCACCAGUAUGUAGUUGAUCGCUGCCAUCUAACUACCAGACUGCUGCAUCUGGUUUCCGGUGUGCUGAUGCUGGGCAAAGCCGAGAGUGACGAUGGUAGCAAUGGAGAAUUUCAUUUUGAG